CCCCCAGCCGCCACACCCAAACGACCCCUGCCCCCCCUCCCUCUGUCUUCCUCACAAGCAACCAUCGACGAUGACUCAAUCGUCGUCUCCGAUGUCAAGCCCGUCCCCAUAACCAUCGACGAACCAGCAUUCCGCCAGCGUCGCCAACAAGCAGCAACAUCUGCUUCACGUCUGCUCCUCGCGCCCAGCAGCAGUACGGCGAACUCUAGCUCCAUUCGUCGGCUCCGUCCCUUCACCAUCUCCACACUGAAUCCAGCCACGAACCAAACAAACCACCCGUUUCUGCUCUUGCUGCUUCGUCUGUCACCCUUCAGCCUUGGAAACAGUCCAAACGACGCCCUCUUGUUCCAGUCCGGUUGUGACGACGACCACCAUGAACGACCAGCUUCUGCUUUAUUUUUUUCGUCUUCACAAUCAGUCCGUUAAAACCUCGAAAAUUUUGGGUCUGAGUUCGAGGUUGAGUUCGUCUUGUUUCAUAUUUUUAUGAGGUAUUUUUCCUCUCCUUUUUGUUCUACUUUUUAUAUUGUUAUUUGUUUAGUUUAGUUGUAUUUCAGUUUUUGUUCAUCGUUUGUUUGAUUGUCAAGGGUUAUAAUUAUUGAGUCGUUUAAAUAAAUUUGUCGAUUAGUCCGUUCAUGUUUGUAGUUUAUGUUUUUCGUCAAAUGGUUUGAUGUCGAAUGUGUUAUGUGUUAAUAUUUAGUCAUUUAACUCACUAUCAGUAAGCAUACAUUUUGUAUAGUUUUGAUUUAGAAUGUUGAUAAGAUUCACUCCCUGUUCUUUUUGUGCAUCGUACUGUUUUAGUUUUUUCUUGUUAUUCACCAUAUUAUUGUUCUCCUAGCGCAUUCAUUUUAUCUAAAUAUCAGCUUAUUCCCUUUGAUCUGAUGUUGUUGGAUUCCAUCUGUUUUCAUGAAUUUGUUGAUGGAAUUUGAUUAGGAAUUGGUUAUAGCUGUUGUAUUUUGAUUAAUUGAUUAGGUGAAUUGGUUAAAGCUGAUUAUCUGAUUUUAGUUCUUAGAUAAUUUUUUAAGUUUGAACAGAUUUUUAGGACAGUAAUUUCAGUAGUUUCAGGGGUAAUAUGGGAAUUGAAAAUAUAGAAAAUUAUUUAAAAUAUAGUGGGGAACAUAAUUAUGUAAAGUAAAAAUAGGGAACAAGACAUGUGGGGAGCAUAACGAUGUAAAGUAAAAAGAGGGUGGACUAUGGGGUCCACGUUUGACUGCUUUUGCUGAUUGGGAAUUAGAAAUAGUAGGUAAUAAUAAAAGGUGAGGAGCAAUAAUUAAAGGGUUGGAGAAAAGGUUCUUGCUUUUGGUAUAUAAUAGAAGUCAUUUUUGACUUAAAAGGAGAGAGAAUUUAGAGAGAGAAAAUAUUUUCAGUACUAGAGGAAAAUAAAAAAUUUCAGAUUCAGUCUUUGAGAAUUAAAAACUGAAAGCAAAGUCUUUAUUUACUGCUAAAAAUCAGAACAUUGUUACGGCUUCUGUGGUUUGCAUUUGGCACUGCUGAUUUUCGGAUUGAAUUCUUGGGUUCCUGCUUGGGUUUCUGGUAUUGGUGUUGCUGUUGGAUUAUUUUUUGAAUCUGUUACUGGAUGUGGAAUCAUCUCUGUUGGUUUUAAAAUCUGUUGCUGGGUGUUCAAUUUGCUACUGCUGUUGCUGUUUGCUAUUGUUGCUUUGCUACUGCUGAUCCUUUUCUUCUCAUGUCCUAUUUCUCUAAUCCAGAUUUCACUUGAGUUAAAUACUGGUGUAACUGUGCAGUUGAGCCUGAGUUGAAAUGUGAAGAUUUUUGUUAUGAAAUGUUUUACCUCAAGUUUAAUAAGUAAAAAUGAUAAUUAGUUAUGUAAUUUUUGGUUUAUAAUUCAACAGAAAUGCAUUAGGUAGUUUGUACUUAACUGAUGCUUUAUUUGUUUUAAAACUAUAAUUUGUAGUUGUUUAGUUAUAUAUUUAAUAUAAUUAUGUGAUUUGUAGGAAUUAACAUGUAGUUAGUAGAUCGAUAACUAGAUUUCAUUAUUAGUCGUCUUUUACAUAUAUAAGGUAAUUCGGAAUCACCUUCAAUUCAAAUUGGUAAAUAGCUAAUAUGGAGAAUCGUUUAACUUAAUUGGUUUGUAAGAUCUAACUCUGAACUUGCGAAUAUUGGAAUAGAAGUAAUUUGAAAUUGGUGAUUUUUAAAUCUUGUAAGUAAUAAAGAUCCACAAGUAUUAGGCAAAUAUCGUUGGUUAUUAAUUUUGUAAAUCAAGAUGUAGCAAGG
rnacentral:lncRNA from 1 species